rnacentral:rRNA from 1 species
UACAGAGGUCUCAAGCGUUGUUCGGAUUCAUUGGGAGUAAAGGGUGUGUAGGUGGCGCCGUAAGUCGGGUGUGAAAUUUCGGAGCUUAACUCCGAAACUGCAUUCGAUACUGCGGUGCUUGAGGACUGGAGAGGAGACUGGAAUUCAUGGUGUAGCAGUGAAAUGCGUAGAGAUCAUGAGGAAGACCAGUGGCGAAGGCGGCCUUCUGGACCAGCACUGACACUCAAGCACGAAAGCGUGGGGAGCAAACAGG